CGGGACGGGUGAGUAAUGUCUGGGAAACGGCCCGAUGGAGGGGGAUAACUACUGGAAACGGGAGCUAAUACCGCAUAACGUCGCAAGACCAAAGAGGGGACCUUCGGGCCUCUUGCCAUCGGAUGUGCCCAGAUGGGAUUAGCUAGUAGGUGGGGUAACGGCUCACCUAGGCGACGAUCCCUAGCUGGUCUGAGAGGAUGACCAGCCACACUGGAACUGAGACACGGUCCAG
rnacentral:rRNA from 1 species